rnacentral:tRNA from 1 species
GCGAGAGUGGUGAAAUUGGUAUACACGCUAGACUUAGGAUCUAGUGCCGCAAGGCGUGGGGGUUCGAGUCCCCCCUCUCGCA